UACAACCACAAACACCCACACAGCAGAUUUGAACAUCAGAGAAUCAUCAGAGAGCUGUGACGCUCGCCUACGAAAGAGCACAGCGUCGACUCAAAAACAGUAUUGGAAACCCACGGAACGGGGAUAAAGGACAGCGCCUUUUCUUCGCCUCAGAUGAGGCCUGAAACACAAAACCUCAGGCUGAUAAAGAGACGCAGCAGAUGGCAGCAGAGAGUCGGAUGAGGAAAUGGGGAACAGGUGGCCACUGGCUUGAGCUGUGGAUUAACAACAUGCCAACAGAAAAACAACACACACACAACCCCACGCACUCAUUAUUCAUCCCAGGAGGGCACACUGAAACUCAAAAACACCCAGCGGAGGAGAGCACGUA
ensembl:lncRNA